rnacentral:sRNA from 1 species
CUUCUAAGUCCAACAUG